rnacentral:rRNA from 1 species
ACAUUGAACCUUCGGGGGAUUUGUUGGGCGGCGAGCGGCGGACGGGUGAGUAAUGCCUGGGAAAUUGCCCUGAUGUGGGGGAUAACCAUUGGAAACGAUGGCUAAUACCGCAUGAUAGCUUCGGCUCAAAGAGGGGGACCUUCGGGCCUCUCGCGUCAGGAUAUGCCCAGGUGGGAUUAGCUAGUUGGUGAGGUAAGGGCUCACCAAGGCGACGAUCCCUAGCUGGUCUGAGAGGAUGAUCAGCCACACUGGAACUGAGACACGGUCCAGACUCCUACGGGAGGCAGCAGUGGGGAAUAUUGCACAAUGGGCGCAAGCCUGAUGCAGCCAUGCCGCGUGUAUGAAGAAGGCCUUCGGGUUGUAAAGUACUUUCAGCAGUGAGGAAGGAGGUAUCGUUAAUAGCGGUAUCUUUUGACGUUAGCUGCAGAAGAAGCACCGGCUAACUCCGUGCCAGCAGCCG